UAGGGAAUCUUCGGCAAUGGGGGGAACCCUGACCGAGCAACGCCGCGUGAGUGAAGAAGGUUUUCGGAUCGUAAAGCUCUGUUGUUAAGGAAGAACAAGUGUGAGAAUGGAAAGUUCAUACUGUGACGGUACUUAACCAGAAAGGGACGGCUAACUACGUGCCAGCAGCCGCGGUAAUACGUAGGUCCCGAGCGUUGUCCGGAUUUAUUGGGCGUAAAGCGAGCGCAGGCGGUUAGAUAAGUCUGAAGUUAAAGGCAGUGGCUCAACCAUUGUAGGCUUUGGAAACUGUUUAACUUGAGUGCAGAAGGGGAGAGUGGAAUUCCAUGUGUAGCGGUGAAAUGCGUAGAUAUAUGGAGGAACACCGGUGGCGAAAGCGGCUCUCUGGUCUGUAACUGACGCUGAGGCUCGAAAGCGUGGGGAGCGAACAGG
rnacentral:rRNA from 1 species